CCUCGAAGGUUCCGGGCUGGGUGGCAGCCGAAGCGUCUAUGCCGACCUGAGAGUGCCCGCGGUGGCCCAGCCCAGUGCCUUGCACGCAGUCCUCCCCGGAGCCUCUUACCUUGGGGAUAUGUGGAGUUAUGCCAAGUGCACAUGUAGAAGCCAGUGGAUAAACUGAGGGAGUUGGUUCUUUCCUUCCACCAUGUGGGCUCCAAAGAUUGAAUUUAGAUCACCAUGUUUGGGAGGGUUUUAUGUAGGCUUGGUUUGGCGGGAACUCUUUGUUGCUGAGACUGACACUGAACUUCUGUCAACUCUCUUGCCUCUGUGUCCUGAGUGAGUGCUGGGAUUAUAGGCGUGUGUAACCACUCAUGGCUGGUGUGUAUGGUAUUGGUGAGUGAACCCAGGGCUUCAUGUAUUACUGACUAAAGAGCAUCUCCAGGCUCUCCUUUCUUUAGCAAAUGCAUAGUAAGCAACUUGGCGCUCCUGUGCUUUGCUCGGUGUGCUCGGUGCACAGACCACGCAUCAUGUGUUCUUGGAAAUAUUCCCUGUCCUUCUUCUAAGAAUCAAACACUCCCUGCUCCGAGUUCUCGGUGUCCUUAAUAUUAUUGUUUAAAUGUGUACACCUACUUCAUGUCCAGUCACUUGGCUAUGGACCUUGUGACUGUAUUUUACUCACCUUUGUCCCUGGUACUUGUACUCAGAAGAGGACUGAUAACUGACGGCCAAUUGAGUGUGUUAAUGAGCAGUGGAUGGGUGGUCAGCAGUGACUUGAACAUAGGUAAUGAUGAAAACCCACCGCUCCCCACAGUCUACAGAGUCCUGCCUGACCACAGUCUACAGAGUCCUGCCUGAGUGAGUACUUGUCCAUUCUUGCUGGGUCUGGCCCUUUAGGUCAUCCCUUCUUUAUCCCAUUCCCUAUUUUAUUCAGUUCAAACUAUUUCUCAUGGAUGCCAUUUGGUACAUUCAUUUGUUUAUGCACUGUUGGCUUGCUUCUUUCAUUUUUUUUAAAUUAAAAAGCGUUGGGUGAGGAUAAUGUCAUGAUGCAUAUGUGAGAGUCAUAGGGUAACUGUGGAACUGGAUCUCUCCUCUACCUUUACAUGCUGCAGUGAUUUCUUAAAAACGGCCCCCAAAGAGAGUAGCACUAUUAGGUCUGGCCUUGUUGGAGUGAGUAUGACUUUUCUGGAGGAAGUG